UUAAACACCGGUUCCCGUACGAUCAACGAAGUUAAGGAACAUCGUCUUUGGUCAGUACCUUGAUGGGUGAUCGUGUCGGAAUACCAGCCGCUGUAAG